GUUUCUGGACACCUGACAAAAUUGUUUUUUAAAGCCGUCUUUUUGACCCGAACUCAUUUAGGUUCGCACCUGUUUUGACCUGAACAAAGUUGAUUUUUUAGGCUACCUAUUUUGAUUCGACCUCAUUUUGUUCAUACCCUGUUUUGACCCGAACCGACUUUGGCUGGAAACACUCUUGGACAGUUGGACCGUUACCAGCCCGCUCCGCUAGGGAUGAGCACGGUACCCGUUCGGUACCGUACCGGUACUAAAAAACGGGAAAAGUGGGUACCGGUACCAAAUAUACCGGUUUGGUACCGGUACCAAUAUACAGGGUUGGUACCGGUACCGGUGUUUUACCGGUAAAUACAGGCACCAGUACCGAAUAUACCCGGUACGGUUCUGUACCGGUUCGGUAGCGGUACCCGGUACCAAAUGUUCAUCCCUACGCUCCGCCCUUUUUGCCAUAAAAAGUUUUAGUGUUAUCUCAUAUUUUGAUCUCAAUAUUAUCUUAUUUAUACAACUUGAUUAUCAAUGGUAAAUUGAAAGUUCAGUAUAUGUGUUUUACCCUUAUUUGUUCUAUUACUUUAGUGAAUAAUUUAAAAAAAGAAAAGAAAAAAACUUGUCAUUCUUACAACUUGGAUUUGUUGUUGUUUGUAUGAUUCUUUCAAAUAGACAAUCUGAUGCAUGUUCCAAAGAGAGUAAAAUAAGGUAUACAAGUAAGUUGGAGAGGAAAGUGAAGACCCUUCAAAACAAGGCCAACAACGCUCUCUAUACAAGUGACAAUGCUCCAGAUUCAGAGAACAGAUCUAGUAGGCUGUCCGAUUACCUCAACUUCCAAUUGGUUUAGAAAUGAUGGAUAACGAUGUGGUCAUGAAAGAACUUGAUAUUGCCCUUGAACAACAACCUCUGCUAGUUGUUAAUUAUGUACCUGGUGCAAUACAUGUUGUCUGAUGAAUUCAGGUUAAUGGACAAGAUAAGGAAAUCAUGGAAAAGGAGGUGGAGGAGCAUGUUAAAAUGAUUACAACUAAGCAUAAACGAACCAAGUGGAGGCUGAUGAUGAGGAGUAAAAUCCCAAAGAGCAGGCGAGGCUAUAAAUGGAUUCGAGACUACAUAUAGCUUACUUGGAUCUUGAGAUGAAUCAACCAAUUGCAAAAAGUUAUUACCCCGUAUGUUUUUUAUUUGCAUAUAACAAUGUGGAUGCCUCAAAUGUACAAUGGUGAAUUUUAUGCAACAACCUUUGUUUUGAAAUUCUUACAUCGAUCGCCAACAUUCAGAGUGCAUUUUUGAGCUUAAAAGCAAAAGGGAUGUCCAUACAUGGAAGCAUUGUAUGUCCUCUAUUUAAUACUCCUUUUAUUUCAAUACGAAGGAUAUUCAAAUUUUGAACAUUUUACUUACACAACGAAA